rnacentral:rRNA from 1 species
GACGAACGCUGGCGGCGUGCUUAACACAUGCAAGUCGAACGGAAAGGCCCUGCUUUUGUGGCGUGCUCGAGUGGCGAACGGGUGAGUAACACGUGAGUAACCUGCCCUUGACUUUGGGAUAACUUCAGGAAACUGGGGCUAAUACCGGAUAGGAGCUCCUGCUGCACGGUGGGGGUUGGAAAGUUUCGGCGGUUGGGGAUGGACUCGCGGCUUAUCAGCUUGUUGGUGGGGUAGUGGCUGACCAAGGCUUUGACGGGUAGCCGGCCUGAGAGGGUGACCGGCGACAAUGGGACUGCGAUACGGCGCAGACGGCUACGGGAGGCAGCGGUGGGGAAUAUGGCAGAAUGGGCGGAAGCGUGAUGCAGAAACGUCGCGUGCGGGAUGACGGCCUUCGGGUGGUAAACAGCUUUCGACUGUGACGAAGCGUGAGUGACGGUAAUGGGUAAAGAAGCACCGGCUAACUACGUG